rnacentral:rRNA from 1 species
UACAGAGGGUGCAAGCGUUUGUUCGGAAUUAUUGGGCGUAAAGCGCGUGUAGGCGGCUUUGCAAGUCGGGUGUGAAAUCCCUCAGCUUAACUGAGGAAGUGCGCCCGAAACUGCCGAGCUUGAGUACCGGAGAGGGUGGCGGAAUUCCCCAAGUAGAGGUGAAAUUCGUAGAUAUGGGGGAGGAACACCGGUGGCGAAGGCGGCCACCUGGACGGAUACUGACGCUGAGACGCGAAAGCAUGGGGAGCGAACAGG